AGUGGGAUAGCUGGGUCAAAUAGUGGUUCCAUUCCAAGUUUCCAAGGAAUAUCCAUACUGCUUUCCAGAUUGGUUGUACCAAUUUGCAGUCCCGUCAGCAGU
rnacentral:pre_miRNA from 1 species